AAUUUAAUAGUUUAAUAAAAACAUUAAUUUUGUAAAUUAAAAAUAUAUUAUAUUAUUUAAGUUU
rnacentral:tRNA from 1 species